GAUUGAACCAAAGAAAUCUCCCAAAACAAAAGGGUUCUAUGAGAAGUGUUUUAUUGAAUUCUUCAUCUAAACAGUGAGGUGGAGAAAUGUUCUGAGUGGACGGCUGCUUACACUUCUGUUUACAUCCACUCUCAGGACCACGAGGAUUUCCAAAGGAUACAACAGGAGUGCUGCCCUAUAAACAAGAGGUACACAUGUUUCCUCUUUCUAUUUGGUGAGGAGAUACAACAUGUAUUUCCCUUUGUCAGCUCUGCAAUAUCUCAUAUCCAGAUUCAGUUACACUGACUGUUGGUGUUCACAAUAAAUCCUCUAUUCUAACAUUAUCAGCCGCAUGUUAUUGUAAUCUAGAAACAUUCACAGGCUUCAUCUUCUACACACAGUGUUGGAUAAAUGAAAUAUGUUGAGGGAAGUUAGCUGUGAGAAAUAUCAUCACAUGUUUACUCUUUAUGUCUCUGAAUGUUAGCAACAAGCUACUUCCUCACUUACUCCACUGAACCGUGGACGCCUAAAGCUCUCCUCUGGUCGCGGUCCUUCUCACCUGGUCGGGAGUGAGCGAUUGUCUUCUGUCGUCAUGGUCACCCUGGAUGUAGUGCAGGAAGUUGAGUCUCUGAAACAGAAGAACAGGAAGUAGUUCAACUUAGCUGCUCUCCAUCUUGUCCUGGGAGUGGAAUGUGGGCGUUUCUUUUUAGUGUUCAACGUGUAGCCCUGGAUGUCCUGCAGGAACCCGGAGUCCGGCUCUUCCUCCUUUGCUGCUCCCUGUGUGGACGUCAGACUGAGAAAGGCCAGCAAAUACACCUAAAUAUUGAUGUUAUCAUUCACUAUUGACACUUUUCUGUCUGGGGCACAAACACCUUUGAGUUAUUGAAUUAGUGACAGUUUAAGGGUACUGAGGUGCACAAAGAGCUGGUUUACACAAUAACACACAUUACUUUAUAUACAUAUUACAGAAGUCAGAUACUCUUACUCAUCUUUUAGUCCACAGCGAGAGGUAGCGGCCUGUUAAAAAUAACAGUGAGUAACACAUAUUACAUUUUGAUUAUUGAAUCGGUGAUGUAACGCGGACAACCAAGUUACUCAGGUUUUAUCUUAUUCUUACAGGUCACAAGCUCGUACUCUAAUUAUAUUCCUAUAUUUCUACAGAUAAACUUGGUGAUGAUAUAUAGUCGUUAUGCUCACACUCACCUUUUGGUCCUCGGUGAACAGCAGCAGCUCAGUUGGAGUGUGGUUAAAGUAUUGGUUAGUAAAAACAAUAUUUGCAUAAUAGAGUCAACAUACAAAGUGCAUAAACAGAUUCACAAUAGAAUAAAAGAACCUACUUCUAACGUUGCCUGUAGGUUACAGAUUAUUCUAAGUUACUUACCUUUUUCGUCCACAUUGAACAGCAGCAUCUCAGGUGGCAAAGUGAGAGAGGUAACAACACAUAAUGGUAAGUUAUAUAACAAAUUAUCUUUGCACGACAUAAUAAAAAAUGAUCUAUGAACAAAUAGAUGAAGCAGGCAGUUUGUAGUAAAUAAUAUUACUUUGUAUUCAUGUUAUAGGUCACUGUCUGAACAAAACAGACGCUGGUACUUACUUUUUCACACGGCCAAAUGGGAUAAAAACAUAAUUAGUAUGGGAAGUAAUUGUAAAUAUUUGAAUAUUAUGAAUUUCCAUAACGGCAUACACUAUAUUUGGCCAUAUGAAGGCAUUUCUAACCUUGGGAGUUCUACUUACUCUGUUGUUUGUCAGUUUUCACUGAUACCUUCACUCUUAACCUGUAAAGGAAUGUGGACACUGUGGGGGAGGGGGAGGCAUAAAACGAGACAUAAAAGCAUUUUUGUCUUCUUCAGCCCUGCCAGACGCAAAGGCUACAUGCUCGGGGUGUCAACGCCUCUGCCAGACGCAAAGGCCGGCCGUCAGGAUGAAAGAAAAGUUGAUCGAUCCACCGCGCAAAGAAGAAGAAAAGCCCCAGAGCAAGACGCUACAUGGGGGACACAAGCCCUGCCAGACGCAAAGGAUACCAGUACCUGCAGAAGGGGUCAACAGCCCCGCCAGACGCAAAGGCCUCAGGAUGAAAUAAAGGUUGACCGAUGUCUUGUGCAAAUAUGACUACAUAAUACAGAAAAGCCCCAAUGCAAGACGCUACAUGGGGGACACUAGCCCUGCCAGACGCAAAGGCUACCAUGGCAACCACUGUUCCUGCUGCAAGUGGACUCAGUGGUUGCUCCGAAGCUUCCCGGAGGAUUGUCAAUCAGAGUCGCUGUCUUCAGACUACCGCGCCCUCUUCGCAGCAGACUCCUCCCCGUCGCUCUCGUCCCUGCGCCGUUUUGCCGAGGAGUCGAGGCCAGAAGUUGAGGGAGAUUCAAGAACAUCUGCAUCCAGGAGCUCCUCAAAAGAGUCUUC
ensembl:lncRNA